rnacentral:snRNA from 14 species
GUUCUCAUGUGAGCACCACAUAUAUUAAAAUGGGAACAAUUCAGUGAGAGCAGGGCCCUUGUGCGAGGGUGACACACGAAUCUGUAAAUCAUCCCAUAAACAA